rnacentral:rRNA from 1 species
UACGGAGGGGGCUAGCGUUGUUCGGAAUUACUGGGCGUAAAGCGCACGUAGGCGGCUUUGCAAGUUAGAGGUGAAAGCCCGGGGCUCAACUCCGGAAUUGCCUUUAAAACUGCAUCGCUAGAAUUGUGGAGAGGUAAGUGGAAUUCCGAGUGUAGAGGUGAAAUGCGUAGAGAUCUGGAGGAAUACCGAUGGCGAAGGCAGCCUUCUGGCCUAAUACUGACGCUGAGGUGCGAAAGCGUGGGGAGCAAACAGG